rnacentral:lncRNA from 1 species
UCGUUGCAGUUUUCACGGCCAUCUUCCGGCGAACUGCAGCCUCUACAAUCUGCUGCAGCAAGUAGCAAUCUACAGCAGCAGCCCCCUCCCUCAUUCUCCACCUUGUGUGACCUGAGUAUCUCACACAAGGUUCGCUGCAUCUUCUACAAAAAAAAAAAAAAAGUCUUCAUUCACUUCUUCUGAUGUUUCAGUUCCUGUAGGGACUCCCACUUCUUGUUCUUCUACAGGGCUUAUCUCCAUCAAUGCUGCCACGCUGAUCCCCUUUAAGUUAUCAAAGGGUGGCAACUAUGCGUCCU